rnacentral:rRNA from 1 species
UACGUAGGGUGCGAGCGUUGUCCGGAGUUACUGGGUUUAAAGGGUGCGUAGGUGGACCUAUAAGUCAGUGGUGAAAGCCUCCCGCUUAACGGGAGAACUGCCAUUGAUACUGUAAGUCUUGAGUAUAGUUGAGGUAGGCGGAAUAUGUCAUGUAGUGGUGAAAUACUUAGAUAUGACAUAGAACACCGAUUGCGAAGGCAGCUUGCUAAGCUAUAACUGACACUGAUGCACGAAAGCGUAGGGAGCAAACAGG